rnacentral:rRNA from 1 species
GGAGCAAAACUCAAAAAAAUAAGUCUCAGUUCGGAUUGAAGGCUGAAAUUCGCCUUCAUGAAGCCGGAAUUGCUAGUAAUGGCAGGUCAGCAUACUGCCGUGAAUACGUUCCCGGGCCUUGUACACACCGCCCGUCACACCAUGAGAGUUGGGAAUACCCGAAGCCUGUGAGCUAACUUUUAGAGGCAGCAGUCGAAGGUAGAAUCAAUGAUUGGGGUGAAGUCGUAACAAGGUACC